GGCGAUAUCGUCUAAGGGUUAGGACGGUGCCCUCUCAAGGCACAAAUCCGGGUUCGAUUCCCGGUAUCGCUACCA
rnacentral:tRNA from 1 species